CAUGAUUAUAAAUCGCACUCAAUAUUAAAUAAGUAAAACUUCAUUCUUCAUCAUCCUUUAAUCAACUAUGUAAGACCUGGCCAGGUACCUUUAACAUUCUUAUCAUUCAGACUUUAAAAUGACGUUUAAAGUAGUUUUCUUCCUUCCACAUUCUUUGCCCUUUCAAUUUUUCGAAACAUUAUAAUCACGACAUAAUCCCCGGGAAAUGGCUAUGUAAAUACCCUACCCUUUUGUUUUCUCUGUAAAAGAAAAUUAUAUCAGAUCAAUUUUACCAAAAUUGAAAGUUCCUUCUCUCAUGUAACAGACAAAUCCACCCCAAUAUUCCAUCGAUACCAAAACAUUAAAAUACCGCCAUCUAGUUUUUUUCUACAACCUAUUACACUAAUACACUAUUUAUUUUAUCAAAUAUGUCUAACUACUACUUCUACUUCAACCAUUUUCUACCCUCAGUAACUACCUAAGUCGAAAAUAAUGUUACUAGGUAACUAAAAAUAUUUCUGAGAUAUUACAACUCUCCUUCACAACCCCUAUUUGAAAAACACGGUCUCCAUUAUCCUUAUUCUAGGCUGUUUGUGUAAAUGUGCCUUACCUGUCUAACUGUCAAAUUUAUUAAAACUAAACUGUCAAUGUCAACCUGACAUAACCUUAACCUGUUUGGCUGUUUUUUUUUUCCGCACUAAUCAAAACAAAAGCAUGCGUCGUUGUGUUCAACAACAUCGAUCGCACGAAGAAAUCUAAUGUUUACCCGAUUAAACUUACGAAACUCUAAAAUAAUGAGUGAAUCUUACAGGACCAAACAUAACAAUGCAAAUCCAACAACACUCCUUGUUGGUCUAAAACCCAUGAUAAACCACUGAUCAAACCAUCCACUGUGACAAAUCAUUCACAAUGCCUCACUACUUAUAGACCAAAGUUACUAUUCUUCAAUAAGAUAUGACAUACUUUUUGAAUGCUGAUGAUGAUGAUGAUGUUCCUUAUUUGACAACCAAACUCUGAGAUUAUAUACUAUGAAGUAAACAUCCUGACUCAGAUGAAGAAGUGAAUUGCAACCGCGCUCAAAAUAGGAACAACUGAACUACCCACAUAGUUCUUAACUUACAAAUAAUAUAUUGAAACUAAAUGAGGUCCUAGCCUACUUCACCUGGUCUAACACUUAAUCAACAACAGUAACUUGCUACACAUUAAUUGUUUUCUAAAUUUAUUGUUAUGUCGGACCGCUACCUUUUCAUCGCAAUUUUUUUCAAAUGAGAUUAUUGUUAAAUUUUCUUUUCUUUAUUUACUGUAACUCAUACUUGUAUUUGUUUAGGGAAAUGUCCGAUAACAUCUGCUACUAAUUGGCUCUCUGGAAUUUGAUAAUUAGACAUUUGGGCUUUUCCGGUUACUCUUAAGUUUGGA